rnacentral:rRNA from 1 species
UACGAAGGGGGCUAGCGUUGCUCGGAAUCACUGGGCGUAAAGCGCACGUAGGCGGAUUGUUAAGUCAGGGGUGAAAUCCUGGAGCUCAACUCCAGAACUGCCUUUGAUACUGGCGAUCUCGAGUCCGGGAGAGGUGAGUGGAACUGCGAGUGUAGAGGUGAAAUUCGUAGAUAUUCGCAAGAACACCAGUGGCGAAGGCGGCUCACUGGCCCGGCACUGACGCUGAGGUGCGAAAGCGUGGGGAGCAAACAGGG